ensembl:snoRNA
GUGAAAUGACGACGAAGUUUAUCCAUUCUCUGAGAUCACUGUACACUGACCUUCUUAUAGUGCUGGGUUCCUGUUUCAGGAACUCUGUGCCAUAUAGUCUCCAAAUGCCCAGCGGUCUUGCAGUGUUCUACUGUAGACAGUUGGUGGCAUUUAUGAAGGAGUGUAUGGUGUCAGCAGAGAUGGAGGUUUCCUCUUGCAAAGAUGAAUGAUGGGAGUCUGAUCAC